rnacentral:rRNA from 1 species
CAAUAGCGUAUAUUAAAGUUGUUGCAGUUAAAAGCUCGUAGUUGGAUUUGUGGUGGUUCCUGAGGUCCAAAUUUCGGUACUAUCGGGCGCCGCCAUCCUUGGGUGGAACCUGUGUGGCAUUAGGUUGUCGUGCAGGGAUGCCCAUCUUUUACUGUGAAAAAUUAGAGUGUUCAAAGCAGGCUUACGCCGUUGAAUAUAUUAGCAUGGAAUAACAUUAUACGACUUUGGAUCUAUUUUGUUGGUUUGCGCUCCGAAGUAAUGAUUAACAGGGACAGUUGGGGUAUUCGUAUUCCAUUGUCAGAGGUGAAAUUCUCAGAUUUGUUAAAGACUGACUUAUGCGAAAGCAUUUGCCAAGGAUGUUUUCAUUAAUCAAGAACGAAAGUUAGGGGAGUCAAAGAUGAUUAGAUACCA